GCGGAUGUAGUUUAUCGGUAGAACUUCGGCUUCCCAAGCCGAUAAGGUGGGUUCGACUCCCAUCAUCCGCUCCA
rnacentral:tRNA from 1 species